CAGGGAGACAAACAAAUGAUCAUGAUGUUUGAGUUAUUGAAUCUCAAGCCAUGAUCCUGUCACCUUAGGUCGAUCGGUACCUCAAGUUAACCUUCGAAAAAUUGAGUGAUCAAUUUAGAGAUUGUGAAUUAACUUCAGUUCCUAAACUUGUCUAGGUCACACCCAACAAGGGUACUCCUGGGCCAUUAGCUCAGGUGGUUAGAGCGCACCCCUGAUAAGGGUGAGGUCCCUGGUUCAAGUCCAGGAUGGCCCAUUCGGUGUUGGGGGUAUAGCUCAGUUGGUAGAGCGCCUGCUUUGCAAGCAGGAUGUCAGCGGUUCGAGUCCGCUUACCUCCACUGAUCAACUUCCUGAUUACGAACUUGAAGGAGAUUACCUUUAUUGAUGUGACUUAGAAUUUGUUCAACUGAUAGAACCUAGCUUCUUAUCAUUCCAAUCUAUAAAUUAAAUAGAUUAGGUUGAUAUGACGCUGGGCUCACUGUAAUCCUACGGAUUCAGAGACCUCAGUAGAACCUUGACAACUGCAUAGGUGAGUCUGGAAAGAAUAAAGCAUCUCAUGGAUGAAUUUAUUUUACAAACUUUUUUGUGAAAUAGAUCAAAUUCUUGAGCAAGAGCCGAGACUCUUUAUCGUUCUUUUGAUGCUGUCGAGGCAUCAGAAGUUUGAUUAUUGAUUUAUUAAAUCAAUAAGAAAGUGUUAACAACACAUAGCGAUUUAGAGGUUAAU
rnacentral:tRNA from 1 species